UGCUCAGUUUUCAGAGAAAUGGAAUAAUCGUAUUGCUGAUCUACAUAAGCAAGUUGAAGAAUUGUCUGAAAGAAAAUAUGGUAUGUCUAAACUGGAAAAGUCCUGUAAUCCUGUGUUCAUGAGCAUUUACACAGUGGAGUUACUCUUCAUCAUGGGGGUACCGUGGACAGGCCCAGGGCUGCCGACAUGAACGUAUGAAUUCAACAGGUGAAGAUUUACAACUUGAUUAAACAGCUUCAGGAGGUAGACAGAACUGGAAGAACAGUAUUUGUCCUACUUUUGAGAUGCAAGAUUUAUCUGGCGUAAUGCAUUGAACAGAUUAUUAUUGAAGUCUACACCGGUCAACUGAACAAGCAUUCGUCAAAUGUCCAUGAUACAUAGGACAGAAUUUUCU